UAACAUAUAAAAAUGAAUAACUUAUAAGUAUAAGUUAUGAUGUGAUUAAAAGAAUAUCAAAGUAUAAUAAUAAUAUUAAGACUUAAAACUAAUGUCUAAUACUUAACUAUAUGUUAUGACUAACCGAAAGAUCUAUUAUAGGUUUUAUAUGCUGUAUAGACUGAUAGGAGUAUGUGGAAAUAUGUUUAAGUUAUUUUAUAACAGUGAUGAUAUUAUUCUAAUAUUGGAGAUCUAUAUUAUUAAUAUUAGGUCUUCAGGAGAAGCGUAUUAUAUUGCGUUACGGUAAUCAACGGUUCAGGCAAGUUUUUCAAGUUCUUUUUACUUAAACUCUUUUAAGAGUGGUUUCAGACAGAUAUGCUUAUGAAUUGUACUCUGUACAUCUUGUAUGUAUAAGUCGGGUAUGAAAGGCUGAUCACCUUCAUUACCAGUUGGUCCAGAUAUAUUGUUAUUCCUGUUAAAUACUUAUUCAGUCAAAACUUUGUUCAUGCUAAUUCACAAAUACAUUGUGAAGGAUAGUCAGCUUAUUAUUCAAACUCUUUCCAUCAUGAUAUAUCUUUGCAUUGUUUUUAAACUUGCUGGGCAACUUUCAUGCUCACCCUUGCUAUAUCAUGAUAAAACAUUGCAGAUAAGGCGAAUACGGCCAGUUACAGGAAAAGGAUGAUGCCAAGUUCAGCUUGGGAUAGAAUGUACAGCUAAUUUGUAAAAGUAUGGUUGAAGAAUAGUAUUGUUAUGUGUUAGAUAGCUUAUGAUUUGUGUUUAAGUAAAGGUUACUCUACCUUGGGGAAUAGUGUGUAAUGUAAUGUAUAAACAAUUUAUGUUUAUAUCUUCCGCAAACAGUUGUAGAAAUAGCGUACCGGAUCCGCGGUGAUUUGGACCCGGAUUCGGGGAUGCUACAGACUUAAUCUAGUUUGGCAAGCAUAUUAAUAAUGUUAAGACAUAUUGUGGACUAUAAUAACAUAUUGUAAUGAGAUGUAAUAUAAAAU
rnacentral:lncRNA from 1 species